rnacentral:rRNA from 1 species
GCUUGCUUCUCUGAUGUUAGCGGCGGACGGGUGAGUAACACGUGGAUAACCUACCUAUAAGACUGGGAUAACUUCGGGAAACCGGAGCUAAUACCGGAUAAUAUUUUGAACCGCAUGGUUCAAAAGUGAAAGACGGUCUUGCUGUCACUUAUAGAUGGAUCCGCGCUGCAUUAGCUAGUUGGUAAGGUAACGGCUUACCAAGGCAACGAUGCAUAGCCGACCUGAGAGGGUGAUCGGCCACACUGGAACUGAGACACGGUCCAGACUCCUACGGGAGGCAGCAGUAGGGAAUCUUCCGCAAUGGGCGAAAGCCUGACGGAGCAACGCCGCGUGAGUGAUGAAGGUCUUCGGAUCGUAAAACUCUGUUAUUAGGGAAGAACAUAUGUGUAAGUAACUGUGCACAUCUUGACGGUACCUAAUCAGAAAGCCACGGCUAACUACGUGCCAGCAGCCGCGGUAAUACGUAGGUGGCAAGCGUUAUCCGGAAUUAUUGGGCGUAAAGCGCGCGUAGGCGGUUUUUUAAGUCUGAUGUGAAAGCCCACGGCUCAACCGUGGAGGGUCAUUGGAAACUGGAAAACUUGAGUGCAGAAGAGGAAAGUGGAAUUCCAUGUGUAGCGGUGAAAUGCGCAGAGAUAUGGAGGAACACCAGUGGCGAAGGCGACUUUCUGGUCUGUAACUGACGCUGAUGUGCGAAAGCGUGGGGAUCAAACAGGAUUAGAUACCCUGGUAGUCCACGCCGUAAACGAUGAGUGCUAAGUGUUAGGGGGUUUCCGCCCCUUAGUGCUGCAGCUAACGCAUUAAGCACUCCGCCUGGGGAGUACGACCGCAAGGUUGAAACUCAAAGGAAUUGACGGGGACCCGCACAAGCGGUGGAGCAUGUGGUUUAAUUCGAAGCAACGCGAAGAACCUUACCAAAUCUUGACAUCCUUUGACAACUCUAGAGAUAGAGCCUUCCCCUUCGGGGGACAAAGUGACAGGUGGUGCAUGGUUGUCGUCAGCUCGUGUCGUGAGAUGUUGGGUUAAGUCCCGCAACGAGCGCAACCCUUAAGCUUAGUUGCCAUCAUUAAGUU